AGUGGCGGACGGGUGAGUAACGCGUGAGAAUCUACCUUCAGGACGGGGACAACAGCUGGAAACGGCUGCUAAUACCCGAUAUGCCGAAAGGUGAAAAGUUUUUUCGCCUGGAGAGGAGCUCGCGUCCGAUUAGCUAGUUGGUGAGGUAAAAGCUUACCAAGGCGACGAUCGGUAGCUGGUCUGAGAGGAUGAGCAGCCACACUGGAACUGAGACACGGUCCAGACUCCUACGGGAGGCAGCAGUGGGGAAUUUUCCGCAAUGGGCGAAAGCCUGACGGAGCAACGCCGCGUGGGGGAAGAAGGUUUUUGGAUUGUAAACCCCUUUUUCUCAAGGAAGAACAAAAUGACGGUACUUGAGGAAUCAGCCUCGGCUAACUCCGUGCCAGCAGCCGCGGUAAUACGGAGGAGGCAAGCGUUAUCCGGAAUUAUUGGGCGUAAAGCGUUCGUAGGCGGCUGUUCAAGUCUGCUGUCAAAGACCGAGGCUCAACCUCGGGUCGGCAGUGGAAACUGGAUAGCUAGAGGUCGGUAGGGGCAGAGGGAAUUCCCAGUGUAGCGGUGAAAUGCGUAGAUAUUGGGAAGAACACCGGUGGCGAAAGCGCUCUGCUGGGCCGAACCUGACGCUGAGGGACGAAAGCUAGGGGAGCGAAUGGGAUUAGAUACCCC
rnacentral:rRNA from 1 species